rnacentral:rRNA from 1 species
UACGGAAGGCAGCAGUGAGGAAUAUUGGUCAAUGGGUGCAAGCCUGAACCAGCCAUCCCGCGUGAAGGACGACUGCCCUAUGGGUUGUAAACUUCUUUUGUAUAGGGAUAAACCUACCCUCGUGAGGGUAGCUGAAGGUACUAUACGAAUAAGCACCGGCUAACUCCGUGCCAGCAGCCGCGGUAAUACGGAGGGUGCAAGCGUUAUCCGGAUUUAUUGGGUUUUAAAAGGGUCCGUAAGGCGGACUUAUAAGUCAGUGGUGAAAGCCUGUCGCUUAACGAUAGAACUGCCAUUGAUACUGUAAGUCUUGAGUAUAUUUUGAGGUAGCUGGAAUAAGUAGUGUAGCGGUGAAAUGCAUAGAUAUUACUUAGAACACCAAUUGCGAAGGCAGGUUACCAAGAUAUAAACUGACGCUGAGGGGACGAAAGCGUGGGGAGCGAACGAGGGAUUAGAUACC